rnacentral:rRNA from 1 species
CAGCAGCCGCGGGAAUACGUAGGUGGCAAGCGUUGUCCGGAAUUAUUGGGCGUAAAGGGCUCGCAGGCGGUUUCUUAAGUCUGAUGUGAAAGCCCCCGGCUCAACCGGGGAGGGUCAUUGGGAACUGGGAAACUUGAGUGCAGAAGAGGAGAGUGGAAUUCCACGUGUAGCGGUGAAAUGCGUAGAGAUGUGGAGGAACACCAGUGGCGAAGGCGACUCUCUGGUCUGUAACUGACGCUGAGGAGUGAAAGCGUGGGGAGCGAACAGGAUUAGAUACCCCAGUAGUCCCUGUCUCUUAUAA